GUCGAACGAGAAAGUGGAGCAAUCCAUGAGUAAAGUGGCGUACGGGUGAGUAACACGUGGAUCAUCUACCCUCUAGUGGGGAAUACCGCUGGGAAACCGGCGACAAUACCGCAUAAGCUCGAGAGGGGAAAGCAGCAAUGCGCUGGAGGAGGAGUCCGCGGUCGAUUAGUUAGUUGGCGGGGUAAAGGCCCACCAAGACUGUGAUCGAUAGCCGGCCUGAGAGGGCACACGGCCACACUGGCACUGAAACACGGGCCAGACUCCUACGGGAGGCAGCAGUGGGGAAUCUUGCACAAUGGGGGAAACCCUGAUGCAGCGACGCCGCGUGAGCGAUGAAGCCCCUCGGGGUGUAAAGCUCUUUCGGCAGGGAAGAUUAUGACGGUACCUGCAAAAGCAGCUGCGGCUAACUACGUGCCAGCAGCCGCGGUAAUACGUAGGCAGCAAGCGUUGUUCGGAGUUACUGGGCGUAAAGGGUGCGUAGGCGGCUUUUUAAGUUUGGUGUGAAAUCUCCCGGCUCAACUGGGAGGGUGCGCCGAAUACUGAGAGGCUAGAGUGUGGGAGAGGAAAGUGGAAUUCCUGGUGUAGCGGUGAAAUGCGUAGAUAUCAGGAGGAACACCGGUGGGUGUAAACGGCUUUCUGGACCAUAACUGACGCUGAGGCACGAAAGCGUGGGUAGCAAACAGGAUUAGAUACCCUGGUAGUCCACGCCCUAAACAUGCAUAUUUUGGUGUGGGCCAUUCAUUUGGUCUGUGCCGGAGCUAACGCGUAAA
rnacentral:rRNA from 1 species